GGCCCAGAUCGUUUACCGUGAAAAAAUUAGAGUGUUCAAAGCAGGCAGAUCCAAUUUUCUGCCACCGAAUACAUUAGCAUGGGAUAAUGGAAUAGGACCCUGUCCUCCUAUUUUCAGUUGGUUUUGGCAGCGCGAGGACUAGGGUAAUGAUUAAUAGGGAUAGUUGGGGGCAUUAAUAUUUAAUUGUCAGAGGUGAAAUUCUUGGAUUUAUGAAAGAUUAACUUCUGCGAAAGCAUCUGCCAAGGAUGUUUUCAUUAAUCAAGAACGAAAGUUAGGGGAUCGAAGACGAUCAGAUACCGUCGUAGUCUUAACCAUAAACGAUGCCGACCAGCGAUUAGGAGACGUUGAAUACAAAACACCACCAUCGGUGCGGUCGUCCUUGGCGUCUCGGUCCUUCACGGGGCCGGGGCGCGGGGGUGGCUUAGCCCGGUGGCACCGGUGAAUGACUCCCCUAGCAGCUUG
rnacentral:rRNA from 1 species